AUCUUGCUCAGGACGAACGCUGGCGGCGUGCCUAAUACAUGCAAGUCGAGCGGACAGAUGGGAGCUUGCUCCCUGAUGUUAGCGGCGGACGGGUGAGUAACACGUGGGUAACCUGCCUGUAAGACUGGGAUAACUCCGGGAAACCGGGGCUAAUACCGGAUGGUUGUUUGAACCGCAUGGUUCAGACAUAAAAGGUGGCUUCGGCUACCACUUACAGAUGGACCCGCGGCGCAUUAGCUAGUUGGUGAGGUAACGGCUCACCAAGGCGACGAUGCGUAGCCGACCUGAGAGGGUGAUCGGCCACACUGGGACUGAGACACGGCCCAGACUCCUACGGGAGGCAGCAGUAGGGAAUCUUCCGCAAUGGACGAAAGUCUGACGGAGCAACGCCGCGUGAGUGAUGAAGGUUUUCGGAUCGUAAAGCUCUGUUGUUAGGGAAGAACAAGUGCCGUUCAAAUAGGGCGGC
rnacentral:rRNA from 1 species